rnacentral:rRNA from 1 species
CCUACGGGAGGCUGCAGUAGGGAAUCUUCCACAAUGGGCGCAAGCCUGAUGGAGCAACACCGCGUGAGUGAAGAAGGGUUUCGGCUCGUAAAGCUCUGUUGUUGGAGAAGAACGUGCGGGAGAGUAACUGUUCACGCAGUGACGGUAUCCAACCAGAAAGGCACGGCUAACUACGGGCCAGCAGCCGCGGUAAUCCGUAGGUGGCAAGCGUUAUCCGGAUUUAUUGGGCGGAAAGCGAGCGCAGGCGGUUGCUGAGGUCUGAUGUGAAAGCCUUCGGCUUAACCGAAGAAGUGCAUCGGAAACCGGGCGACUUGAGUGCAGCAGAGGACAGUGGAACUCCAUGUGUAGCGGUGCAAUGCGUAGAUAUCUGG